rnacentral:lncRNA from 1 species
AUAAAAGUACUACUAGAAGUAAUGACAAUUAUGGAAUAACAUGACUAAGACAAAACUUGACAUGAUUACAAAAUUAAAAGACACAACACAAAUUUUAACAACAAGUGAAAGGAAGCUUAAGGUAAACUCUAGGAAGGAUAAUGCCAUUCCAAAAGAGCAACCAUACUCAUAAGAAGAAUGAGUGCCAUAAACCUUUUCACAAGCACUUGGUGUAAAAGAAAAAAAACAGCAAGAAUACUCAAGUAAAAUUCUAAAACAGAAACUUAAAUUGCAAGAAAAUUAAAGAGCUCUUGAAAUUAAAGUGCACACAACUCAACAAUUAAACAAG